rnacentral:rRNA from 1 species
UAGGGAAUCUUCCGCAAUGGGCGAAAGCCUGACGGAGCAACGCCGCGUGAGUGAUGAAGGUCUUCGGAUCGUAAAACUCUGUUAUUAGGGAAGAACAAAUGUGUAAGUAACUAUGCACGUCUUGACGGUACCUAAUCAGAAAGCCACGGCUAACUACGUGCCAGCAGCCGCGGUAAUACGUAGGUGGCAAGCGUUAUCCGGAAUUAUUGGGCGUAAAGCGCGCGUAGGCGGUUUUUUAAGUCUGAUGUGAAAGCCCACGGCUCAACCGUGGAGGGUCAUUGGAAACUGGAAAACUUUAGUGCAGAAGAGGAAAGUGGAAUUCCAUGUGUAGCGGUGAAAUGCGCAGAGAUAUGGAGGAACACCAGUGGCGAAGGCGACUUUCUGGUCUGUAACUGACGCUGAUGUGCGAAAGCGUGGGGAUCAAACAGG